rnacentral:rRNA from 1 species
CCAGACUCCUACGGGAGGCAGCAGUGGGGAAUAUUGCACAAUGGGGGAAACCCUGAUGCAGCAACGCCGCGUGAGUGAAGAAGCAUUUCGGUAUGUAAAGCUCUAUCAGCAGGGAAGAAGAAAGACGGUACCUGACUAAGAAGCCCCGGCUAACUACGUGCCAGCAGCCGCGGUAAUACGUGGGGGGCAAGCGUUAUCCGGAUUUACUGGGUGUAAAGGGAGCGUAGACGGCAUAGCAAGUCUGAAGUGAAAGCCCGUGGCUCAACCGCGGAACUGCUUUGGAAACUGCCAGGCUGGAGUGCUGGAGAGGCAAGCGGAAUUCCUAGUGUAGCGGUGAAAUGCGUAGAUAUUAGGAAGAACACCAGUGGCGAAGGCGGCUUGCUGGACAGUAACUGACGUUGAGGCUCGAAAGCGUGGGGAGCAAACAGGAUUAGAUACCCCAGUA